CCUACGGGUGGCUGCAGUGGGGAAUAUUGGACAAUGGGCGCAAGCCUGAUCCAGCAAUGCCGCGUGUGUGAAGAAGGCCUGCGGGUUGUAAAGCACUUUCAGUGGGGAGGAAGGCCUCGAUAUUAAUACUAUUGAGGAUUGACGUUACCCACAGAAGAAGCACCGGCUAACUCUGUGCCAGCAGCCGCGGUAAUACAGAGGGUGCAAGCGUUAAUCGGAAGGAGUGGGCGUAAUGGGUGCGGUCAGAUGUGAAAGCCCCGGGCUCAACCUGGGAAUUGCAUUUGAUACUGAGUAACUUGAGUAUGGUAGAGGGAAGUGGAAUUUCCAGUGUAGCGGUGAAAUGCGUAGAUAUUGGAAGGAACAUCAGUGGCGAAGGCGACUUCCUGGACCAUUACUGACACUGAGGCACGAAAGCGUGGGGAGCGAACAGGAUUAGAUACCCCAGUAGUC
rnacentral:rRNA from 1 species